UACAGAGGUCUCAAGUGUUGUUCGGAUUCAUUGGGCGUAAAGGGUGCGUAGGUGGCGCCGUAAGUCGGGUGUGAAAUUUCGGAGCUUAACUCCGAAACUGCAUUCGAUACUGCGGUGCUUGAGGACUGGAGAGGAGACUGGAAUUCAUGGUGUAGCAGUGAAAUGCGUAGAGAUCAUGAGGAAGACCAGUGGCGAAGGCGGGUCUCUGGACAGUUCCUGACACUGAGGCACGAAGGCCAGGGGAGCAAACGGG
rnacentral:rRNA from 1 species